rnacentral:rRNA from 1 species
UCAAAAACAUCUCUUAAAUUUAACAAUUUAAGUAGAGCCUGCUCACUGAAAAUUUUAAGAGCCGCAGUACCCUGACUGUGCUAAGGUAGCAUAAUAAUUUGUAGAUUAAUUGUCUACUAGAAUGAAUGGUUUGACGAAAAGAAAACUUUCUUCUGCAUUUUUAUAAAUUAAUAUUCUAAGUAAAAAAGCUUAUAUAAAAUAGUUAGACGAUAAGACCCUAAAACCUUAAAAUUAAAUUAAAAUUCUUUGCUGGGGCGGCAAAUUUAAACACUAAAUUUUUCAAAACAUAGUGAUUGAAUUCAACUUCCUAAUAAUAAAAUCAAAUAGGUACUUUAGGGAUAACAGUAUAAUUUUUAUUUAGAGUAUCUUAUCGACAUAAAAGAUUAUAACCUCGAUGUUGAAUUGAUAAUUACUUACUAAGCAGUCCUAGUAAAAACNAGUCUGUUCGACUUUUAAUUUAUCACAUGAUCUGAGUU